CCUUUUUUCUUUCUUGGUCCCUCACUUUCCCUAGACUGGAAGGCUUCUGGUUUGAUCGAGAGAAAAGUGAGAGAAGUAGGAUCAGUCAACCCAGACCAUUCCUUUCUGUCCUGCUGAAUCGAGGAGGCAGCUAGACAGCAACCCAAGCCCCAGUCUCCUCCUUGGCUCUCCUGGCAGACCUGACAGCAAGUGAUAAGAAGAGGAAAAGGGUCUCAAGGAGCCCAGGCUGGUCUUCACCUCAGCAUCCAGGCUAGUGUGGUCUUGAACUCCUGAUCUUCCUGCCUCUAUCUGGGAUUGCAGGCAUGUGACAGCACACUCAGCUCUGGCGUGCACUCGCAGCUCAGUGCCCCACACAGCGAGGAGUCCCUCAAUAAAUGGCAUGAUCAUAAUACUUCCGGGUAGCCAACUAUACCUCCACUGGAAUGUCCUGCUCGCCCUGGAAGUAUGGUCCUAGAAGAGUUUUUGACGGGCAGGGGUGGGGGACUGUUCUCAUUCUGGCUCUGAGAGGUGGCUGGUCCUGGGCUAGCAAUGGUCUCAUAUGUCUUGUUGCUGAUGUCCAGCCUCCCACUGCUCCAACAGGCCUUAGCUGGGGGCUUCACGGGACAGUGCUGUGGGGACAAGGCCAUCUUGGUUUCCACAGUUCAACCUGCCCCUUCCCACAGCAGGCCCAAUAUGGCUCUUGUCUGGUGCCAUCCAGAGGGGAAGGGCUGGGCCUACCUUCUCAUCCUCAUCCUCCUCACUGUCAAAGCCAUGCUCCAUGGAGUGCCCCCACGGGUAGUCCAUGUGGAGAGGAAAGGUGAGGGUCCCUGCUUGUGCCUGCUCCAGCUGCCAAAAGCAAAGGCUUGCCAUGUAUGAGGGCCGAUAGGGUGAGGAAGGGUUGGAGGGCGGCCUCUGUCCUCGAACUCACCAGCUCUUCACAUUCCUUGUGGCAUUUCUUCCUGGCAAUGUCCAGAGCUGUCUCCCCAGCAUCAUUUACUGUGGAGGGUAAUAAACCCAGGGACAACAGUCAAAGUCAAGGCAGCUUAGAGGUUAGUAUGGGCCUCGGAAUUGGAUUGUCUGGGUAUGAAAACUGACUCUCUGACUUCCUAGCUGUGUGGCCUUAGGUGACCUACUCAACCUCCCUGGGUCUUAACUGUCUCCUCUGUAAAAUGAAUAUGACACUUGAAACUAUCUGACCAGGCUGUAAGGAUUCACUGAUAAACAGUACAGAUCACGGGACCAGAUACAUGUUACACAGUAAGCUGGGUAACAGUUACAUCACUAGUGUACCCAGAUUCAGAUAGGAUUUAGUUUGCUCCAUCCAUACCUUUUGGCAGGCUCACUAGCUCUGUGAGACUCCCAUUUUACAGGUGGGAAAGCUGAGGCUCUAGAUAUGAAUGACAGCCCCCACCCCUGAGAAGCCACUGAGGAGCUCAGAAACAAGCCAGGAGUAGGACUAUGCCUGUGAAGAGUGUGCCUGUUGUCAGUGUUUGGGUCUGUACGGGCAGGAGGCCCCACAUGGGGCAGUCAGAAAGGGAGUCUGGAGGAGGCCGCAGGCCGCACCUGUCCCCACAGGAGCUCUCCCUUUCAGCAACAGCUUGAGGCAGUCCAGCUGGCCGUGGAGAGCAGCCAAGUGCAGCGCGGUGUUUCCAUCGGCGGCCUUGGCAUCCAAGUGGCCACUGCAAGGAGAGGGUUGCGGGAGGUUCAGGGAAGGAAACGAGCAGGCAAGGGGGUCAAAAUCCCAGGGGAGAGGGAGGGACCCGGAGGGCGUGGGGGCACAGGGAGGUUGCUGAUGGCAGACAGGCUCUCACCCAUUCUGGAUGAGGAAGUCCACUAGGGGCAGGGAAGCCUGGCUGGCGACUCUGAUGGCCAAGUGCAGGGCGAGCUCUCCAGGUGCCUGAACACACACAUGCUUGAGUUUCCCGACAGCUGCCCUCUUGAACCCUUGCUACCCCAGCAUCUCUGCUUAUGAAGUGGUCAGCAACCCCAGAGAUGAGACCGUAUGGACAGACCCCCCUCACAUUAAAGAAACGUGAGAAAGCCCAGGCUGUCCCUUCAUGGCGUCCUUCAGUGGUUCCUCCUUGCCCUUUCGAGCAGGUGUCCCCAAAUCUUUAUCGGGCUGGGGCUCUCCUUUUCUCCUACUUUUUAGUGUGUCCAUGCUGCCCACCUUACCCAGGAACUGUGGUCCUGCUGCCCACCUCAUCCAGGAACUGUGGUCCUGCUGCCCACCUUACCCAGGAGCUGUGGUCCUGCUGCCCACCUUACCCAGGAGCUGUGGUCCUGCUGCCCACCUUACCCAGGAGCUGUGGUCCUGCUGCCCACCUUAUCCAGGAGCUGUGGUCCUGCUGCCCACCUUACCCAGGAGCUGUGGUCCUGCUGCCCACCUUACCCAGGAGCUGUGGUCCUGCUGCCCACCUUACCCAGGAGCUGUGGUCCUGCUGCCCACCUUACCCAGGAGCUGUGGUCCUGCUGCCCACCUUACCCAGGAGCUGUGGUCCUGCUGCCCACCUCACUCAAGCACUAUGCCCUCACUGUCACCUGUGAUGAUUUCAGACAUGCAGUUGAGGGACGGCCUGCCCCACCUCCACUCCUGCUAGGGGCUAACUCAGGGCCUCACAGGCUAAGCUCACUAUGCUCCAUCACAGAGCUGCACCACAGCCGAGGACACCCAGCUGUUUUGUUUUUAAAAGAUCACCUUCAUUUCUUUUUACAACUUCACGUGCAUGAAUAUUUUGCCUGCAUGACUGUGCACCACAUGCAUACGGUGCCCACAAAGGCCAGAAGAGGGUACUAGAUCUCCUGGAACUGGAGUUACAGACAGUUGUGAGCAGCCAUGUGAAUCGUGGGGAUUGAACCCAGGUCCUCUGAAAGGGCAGCCAGUGCUCUUAACCACUAAGCCAGGGUCAUAACAUCCGGUUUUUAAAUGCCCAAUGAGUCACAGCCACUUCUAAGAUCAUCCUGAAACCCUUCCUCAUAGAUAUAUACCACCAAAAAUACAGCGUCUUUCACGACUCUAAUUGGACCUGCCCUUUCCCACUUUCCAAGGCUGUUGUUGGCCCAUGCUAUAGACAAGGAAAUAGGACUCAGAGAAGUGAAGCAACAGCCUUGGGUCACACAGCUAAUAAAGAUGCGGCCGGGAUUCCCAGCUA